GAUGAACGCUGGCGGCGUGCCUAACACAUGCAAGUCGAACGGACUUUAAAAGAAGCCUAGCGAUUUUAAAGUUAGUGGCGGACGGGUGAGUAACGCGUGGGUAACCUGCCGUAUACAGGGGGAUAACACUUAGAAAUAGGUGCUAAUACCGCAUAAGCGCACAGUUUCGCAUGGAACAGUGUGAAAACUCCGGUGGUAUACGAUGGACCCGCGUCUGAUUAGCUAGUUGGUGAGGUAACGGCUCACCAAGGCGACGAUCAGUAGCCGGCCUGAGAGGGUGAACGGCCACAAGGGGACUGAGACACGGCCCUU
rnacentral:rRNA from 1 species